rnacentral:rRNA from 1 species
GACGAACGCUGGCGGCGUGCCUAAUACAUGCAAGUCGAACGAACCGCGACUAAGUGCUUGUUCUAAGCCAAGGUGAGUGGCGAACGGGUGAUUAAAACGUCGGUAUCCUACCUCAUAGUGGGGGGUAACUGGCGGUAAUGCCUGCUAAUACAUCAUCGGACAUUGGUUCAUAUGUUCCAGUGCGGAAGGUUCGCGCUAGCCAUCGCUAAGAUAUGGUCCGUCGGUGCAUUAGCUAGUUCGUAGGGUAAAGGCCUUCCAGGGCGAUGAUGCAUAGUCGACCGGAGAGGGUAAUCGGCCACAUUGGGACUGAGACACGGCCCAAACUCCUACGGGAGGCAGCAGUAGGGAAUCGACCACUAUGGACGCAAGUCUGACGGAGCAACGCCGCGUGAGUGAAAAAGGUCUUCGGCUCGUAAAACUCUGUUGUUAGAGAAGAACAGCGCAUAGAGUAACUGCUAGGCGUGUGACGGUAUCGAACCAGAAAGCCACGGCUAACUACGUG